ACUGGCUGUAACGUUGAAUGCAAUCUUUUUAAAAAGGGCAAGCAAAAUCAAAUCUACCACUAAUCACGCCUAACGAUCUCAAGUUCCAUAAUUGCACAAGCCUCUCUCUAUCCUUCCAUACUAAUGUAAUUUGGAUUCAAAUUCUCAAAAACAAAAUGGUAAAACAGAGCUUAUACAAUCAUUAUUGAAUUUGAUCGUUCCAAUUCAAUUGAGAAAACUACUUCAAAUUCGCAAAAGAGUCAAUCGCGACUGUGUAUUGCAAUUUCGUACAGGUCCCAAACCCAAUAUUCUACAUCUCCCACUUCGCAUAUGGUGGACUAGACUCAAAUUAGUACCAUGGCCAUAACACAUGUAAGUCAUACUGGCAAAUAGUUCGUGCGACCUGCGAGCAUCGAGAGCUAUACCUGUUAAGGUUUUACAAGAGCUCCACAUAGGAAUUCAAUCACAUACGGAAAGAAUUCACUACUAACAUGAGAAUCUUAUUACUCGCAAUACCCAAACAUCAUCCGCUAUGCCAGUAGCUAGAUAUCUGAUCCUUCGUCCUCUAAAGAGGUGAACUCGAGUUCAUGUUUAACUUUAUAUCCACAAUUACACUUGACACCUUAUGGUAAGUGUAAUGGCCGACCUAUGAAUAUAAGUUAAAUUAAUAAUUUUAAUUA